GUGUUCGGGUUGUCAUGCCAAUGGCACUGCCCGGUAGCUAAAUGCGGAAGAGAUAAGUGCUGAAAGCAUCUAAGCACGAAACUUGCCCCGAGAUGAGUUCUCCCUGAGACUUUAAGUCUCCUGAAGGAACGUUGAAGACGACGACGUUGAUAGGCCGGGUGUGUAAGCGCAGCGAUGCGUUGAGCUAACCGGUACUAAUGAACCGUGAGGCUUAACCUUACAACGCCGAAG
rnacentral:rRNA from 2 species